rnacentral:rRNA from 1 species
UACGUAGGGUGCAGGCGUUAAUCGGAAUUACUGGGCGUAAAGCGUGCGCAGGCGGUUUGCUAAGACAGGUGUGAAAUCCCCGGGCUUAACCUGGGAACUGCGCUUGUUACUGGCAGGCUUGAGUGUGGCAGAGGGGGGUGGAAUUCCACGUGUAGCAGUGAAAUGCGUAGAGAUGUGGAGGAACACCGAUGGCGAAGGCAGCCCCCUGGGCUGAUACUGACACUGAAGCACGAAAGCGUGGGGAGCAAACAGG